rnacentral:rRNA from 1 species
GAUGAACGCUGGCGGCGUGCCUAAUACAUGCAAGUCGAGCGAACGGACGAGAAGCUUGCUUCUCUGAUGUUAGCGGCGGACGGGUGAGUAACACGUGGAUAACCUACCUAUAAGACUGGGAUAACUUCGGGAAACCGGAGCUAAUACCGGAUGAUAUUUUGAACCGCAUGGUUCAAAAGUGAAAGACGGUCUUGCUGUCACUUAUAGAUGGAUCCGCGCUGCAUUAGCUAGUUGGUAAGGUAACGGCUUAACAAGGCAACGAUGCAUAGCCGACCUGAGAGGGUGAUCGGCCACACUGGAACUGAGACACGGUCCAGACUCCUACGGGAGGCAGCAGUAGGGAAUCUUCCGCAAUGGGCGAAAGCCUGACGGGGCAACGCCGCGUGAGUGAUGAAGGUCUUCGGAUCGUAAAACUCUGUUAUUAGGGAAGAACAUAUGUGUAAGUAACUGUGCACAUCUUGACGGUACCUAAUCAGAAAGCCACGGCUAACUACGUG